rnacentral:rRNA from 1 species
CGCGUGGAGGGGGAUAACUACUGGAAACGGUAGCUAAUACCGCAUAACGUCGCAAGACCAAAGAGGGGGACCUUAGGGCCUCUUGCCAUCGGAUGUGCCCAGAUGGGAUUAGCUAGUAGGUGGGGUAAUGGCUCACCUAGGCGACGAUCCCUAGCUGGUCUGAGAGGAUGACCAGCCACACUGGAACUGAGACACGGUCCAG